CAAGGGGUAGCAAUACACCGGCGUACGGGUGUGUAACGCGUAUGGAACCUGCCCUUAUCUGGGGGAUAACUCGGGGAAACUCGAGCUAAUACCGCAUAAGAUAGUAGAGUGGCAUCACUCAGCUAUUAAAGAUUUAUCGGAUAAGGAUGGCCAUGCGUAAGAUUAGAUAGUUGGCGAGGUAACGGCUCACCAAGUCUACGAUCUUUAGGGGCUCUGAGAGGAGAAUCCCCCACACUGGCACUGAGAUACGGGCCAGACUCCUACGGGAGGCAGCAGUAGGGAAUAUUGGGCAAUGGGCGGAAGCCUGACCCAGCCACGCCGCGUGCAGGAAGACGGCCCUCUGGGUUGUAAACUGCUUUUAACUGGGAAGAAAAGAGGCUUUGCGAAGCAAGUUGACGGUACCAGUUGAAUAAGCCACGGCUAACUACGUGCCAGCAGCCGCGGUAAUACGUAGGUGGCGAGCGUUAUCCGGAUUUAUUGGGUUUAAAGGGAGCGUAGGCGGCUGAUUAAGUCAGCGGUGAAAGGUAGCAGCUUAACUGUUUUACAUGCCGUUGAUACUGGUUAGCUUGAGUUGACAGAAGGCAGAUAGAAUUCCUGAUGUAGCGGUGAAAUGCUUAGAUAUCAGGAGGAAUACCGAUUGCGAAGGCAGUCUGCUGCAGUCACACUGACGCUGAGGCUCGAAGGUGCGGGGAUCAAACAG
rnacentral:rRNA from 1 species